AAAGCUUGGAUUCUCUUCUCCACUAUUCUAUGUUAGAAGGAGUAAUUUUAGGAUGGGAACACUGCCUUGAAAAGGACUGACAGAAACCUCCAUAACCACAACUGCUGUAGUUACUAUUGUGCUAUGAAGUAGGUUCCAGCCAGAUCCUCCCACCCACUUUCAACAAACAGGUGUCAGAAUGCAGUAGGUUUCAGGGGUGUGAGAAGUAAGGCAGAAC
rnacentral:lncRNA from 11 species